UCUUAAAUAGAAAACAGUCCUGGCAGGAUGUCUUGUGAGGGCAGUGUAAGCAGCUAUUGAAAGCCCACGCCCUGUUGUCAGGCAUCCCCAGUUACAUCCUGCUUCCCCCAUUGAAUCGCGUAGCCUUGGAGGAGUUAUCUGACAUCUCUGUGCCCCAGUGUCCUUAUUGGUAAAACAGAGAUGCCAAUCCUCCUUGCUGCCUGGGUUGUCCUAAAGAUCAAAUGAUGUCACGUGUAAGUUGCUUGGAAUAAUGGCUGCUAUCUAGUACCAACUGUAUUUGCUGGUUUUCUUACUCUCUUCCGAAUGUAUCAGUAACAUGGGAAAGUCUCGCACUGCCGCAUUUUGCAGGCUCGAUUGUCAGCAUUUGUUGGCUGCAGCAGUGGAGCUACAGAGAAUGGUCCUAGUUGUCAGGAAAUGCAGAGCCUGAUUGGAGGUAGAAAAUAUUUAAAACCAGUGGUACAAGAGAUGCAAAGGCCUGAUUAAUAAUAAAAUAAUAAUUCCUAUAGAAGUCUCAGAAAAUUUAAAUAAACAUUCUGUUGAACUUGGUUGAUACUAGUAGGUAAAUAGAUGAACUAAAAAGGCUAGAAGUAAAAACAAAUCUUUGAACUUC
rnacentral:misc_RNA from 1 species